CUCUGCUCAUGGAUUGGAUUGAUCUGAAAGAGAUACUCAAGUUUUUCAAGCUCCGUAUGUUCUACUUACUCUCUUGAAUCCAAAUUAGAAACAUCUUGUUGUUUUCAUGUAGUUAACAAAAUAACUCAAUGUCAUUUGAAGUGUUCAGUUGCAUGUCUCCACUGAGUAAGGACAAAGACAAACAAUUCCUGCUUUUAGGUAGAGAAAUAUGAUACAACAGCAUUGUGGAAUAAUGAAAUAUAGUCUAAUUCAGAGAGAGGAAUGGAAAUGUUACUAAAGAUCCAGAGAUCUCUGGGGAGUUCACUGAGCUUUUAAGUUUGUGUUUUCAGUAUUCCAUUUUUGUGUUGGUUGCACAUUAAACCCUGUUGGCAGUAUUAACAGUAUUCAGCUGUGCUUACUGCAUUUGAGGUAGCAUUUCUGCUUGUACUGCCUUUGAUUAUACCAAAGAGGCAUGACCAAGAGUUCAACUGCAGUGCAAAGGCAAAAUGACCAUCUCAAAUCCUGUAUGGGCAGUGUAACUUUGCACUGCAGUCAGUCAGGUCUGCUGUGGGAAACAGUAACAAGCAUAUGAGAGGUGAAGUGUCUAAAUUUGUGUCAGACACUAUGAACUGAAGUUGUAUUCACAUUGCAAAGCCGUUGUUUAAGCAUCUGCAAUGCCUUCAGCUCCAGGGCAAAAGAUGCAGUAAACUCUGGAGCAGAGAAUCUUCUGCAAAAAAUAAUUUGUUAGCUUAUUUUUUUGUAAGUUGUGUAUGGAUGUUAGCAGUGAGCAGUUAAACUGAAUGUCUUAACUGCCAUUUUUAAAAUCACACACUCAAAAAAGAAAAAAAAAAAAUACCAAACAAACCAAAAACACCCAAUAAAACAAACUCCCUAACAGACUGAACUCCCUGUGAUUUUAACUGAAAAGUUGCAUGUUACGGCUCAUAGGAGUUGUAUAUCUCUACUGAACAAAUGACCAUCCAGCCACUUUCAUGUUCUCUCAACUUAUUCGUUGUAGUUCUGCUUACCAGCUAACUUCCUGUAAUGUAGCAUGUGUGGUUGUUGUCAGCCUAUUAUUUGAUUGCCCUGUCCUAUCUGGAAACUUACAGCAAGAGGUUCACUUUGUAGACAAAGAUAUUCUCUGACAUACAGGUAGGGAUUAUGCAAAAUAAAAAUUUGUAAUACAAUAAAAUAAAUAAAUUCAAAAUUCACAGAAAUAUUGGUUCAAAUAUAGAUUUCUUUGUAUCUAAUACAGUUAUUCUUGUCAGUAAAGGAAGAAUGUGCACAGGAUACCCUUAAAGAAAUUUGACCAAUGGUUUCCACAUUUCUAGCUUAUAGAACCCAAACCUUUCUUAUUCGCUUUUUGUAUUCAUUUGAGGAGAAACUUCAGAUUUCUUACCAAAAAUAUUUCUGAAAGCAAACUAUGGAAAAAUAACUCUCACUUAGGAAGGAAAGUCCUUCAAAAGCUUAUCUCAUGUGUUUAAUUGAGUCUCUUAAAUGAAGCUUUGGAAGUGCCUUCAGAACCUACAUAGCCCAAGAAUGAAUUUGUUGUAUUGUUUGCCUCUUGAGUGGUCCUUAGGAAACAAAUGCAGAUACACAAUGCCAUUGCUUCUUUGCUUCAUGCCGAAUAAAUUCUAAAUGCAAAGCUCAACUGAUUUAAGUUGACUUUUAACUAGUAUUUGUUUUUGUCUUCACUAGUCCUGGGAAGUGAUAAAAGAAUAAUUCUAGCAGUUUUCUUGCUAGUUGAUCUUGUUUUGUUAUUCUUGUGCAGUACAGAGUUCUGGUACUGAGGUUGCUGAUGGGGCAGGAGAAUAUUUAAAUCCAAAUAAGUGCUCCAUAGAAUGAGACCAAAACUAUUAAAUGUUUCUAUACCAUGUAGAUAUAACAUUGGAGUACAAGUAAAUAAUGCAUGUGCAUAUUAGCAAGAAUUUUCCUUUAGAUCUUAAACUGUGAACUCCUCAGAGUUCUAAUUCAGAGCUCCAGUUUCUGCCCAGGCUUAAACAAUUAUGUCAGAAACUACUUUCACAGAUAAGAUUUGGUAUUAUUUUAUUAGUAUUUUUGGAAGAAAGGUGGAAAAGAUGAUGAAUAUUAUUUAGUAAUUCAAAAAUCAGGAUGAGAACUGGGCACCCGAAGUUUAGGUUUUUUCUAAAACAAAUGUCAUGACCUAAAGGAGCUUGACCCUUCAUAUCUGACUUUUGGAUUGGGUAUUAGUGGCAUAAUCACCAUUAAUAACAGUUAUAAGGAAUAAAAGAAGAACUUGGAAAUGUAGAAAUAUAUGUAAAUACAUAGAUACUAUAGUAAAAUAUUCAUUAACUAGAUAGUGUCCUUAUUUACAUUCCUGUAAUCCACAGGAACGUAUACUAUGAAUUCUUUGUAUUUCAUAUUUUAGAAGCAGUGAGAUUGUAAACAAAUACUUCUAUCCAGAAUAAUUUUCCAUCUCAGAGUUAUUUCAUGGCGAGGCUAUUCUUUGAGUUCUGGCUUCAAAAAAUUUAUUAUGUUUGAAUGCAUUCUCUCCUUUGUACCUUGUAGACAAAAUGUUUAAAAAUAUUUCCCAGUACUUUCAAGGUCCAGAGAUUUGCUUUGGGUAAUUGCAUACUGUACAAAGAAGCAAAUAGUUAUGUCAGCAAAACUUACAAAGCUGCAUUUUCCAGUAACUUUUUAUGCCCUGACUGAAGUAUAGGCUUACUUCAUCUACAUACACUUUGUUUCCAAAAAUCCUCUUCCUGCUCUUAUGUGACUAUCAGCAAGGUAGAAGAUUGUGUGACUGUGUAUUGAGUUGAGUGGAUAAUGAGAACGGAACAAAAUUCACUUUUGAGGAGACCAGGAAUGAAAAAUAAGAAAAUAAUUCUAAAGGAUGUAAUGUCAUAGAAGCCAGUUCUAAGAAUUUAAUGUCUGUGAUUUCUUACCUCUUAGUUGUUUUUUUUUUCCUGAAACUGGCAUAUUACUUCAAAGGUAACUAGGUGAGUCAGAACCAUAGGUUAAUGUAGGUCAGAUAGAAUUUCUGAAGGUCUCCAGUCCAGCCUCUUGAUCUAAGUAGGACUAAUUUACAAGUUAGAUAAUGUUGCUUCAGCCCUUGUCCAGUCAGUUUCUGAGUAUUUUCACGGAUGUACAUUGCACAGCAUCUCUUUACAAGCUGUUCCAACACUUGACCAUGUGGUCACUGAUGGUGAUUUGUUUUUCCUGUGUACAGGAAUCUUAUUUCCUUAGGAAACCUCACUAAAAGUAAACUGACUCCAAAGGGCGUUUAAAGCUCUUAAAGUUUAAAGUGGCUGUGUGGCCUUUUUACUUUAAAGUUGUAAAGAAAUGCUUUGAUAUCUGGCCUUUCAGCUGCAUGCAGCUGCUUUUCAUCUGCUUUGUUGGUCAUGUAGAGACUGAGAAAAACAGAGCUGUUGUAGAUAACCUUCUUAGUAUACCUGUCUUUUCCUGUCUUACUUAGAAAAGUGAUAAAAGAAAGGCAGUGCAAUUAACAGUAAGAGGAAGGCUUGCUGUGAUGCUUUUGAACAGGAGACUUUUUUUGACUCCACGGUCUGAUAGUGUCAAAUUAAAGCACUUAAGAGACUACCUAAAUACCUUAACUUGAUGAGCAUUCUGAUCAUAACACUUUUUUUUUUUUCCCCAGCACUGAAUUUUAACAAAGGUGGAACAAAUCUCCUACAGAAUAAAAGUUCAAUAUUUAAAGCACGACACAAAAAUUUAUUUAUGAGCUUAGGGGAAGCCUCAUUGUUCUGAGACUGCACUUAAAAAUCCACUGAGCAAGUCACAACUCCUCUGGAUGUUGCUAGUGAAUGAAAGCUAUAGGAUUUCUACUAAAUAACAAUUUUGACCUGAGCUGUAAAUAGACUUAUACUUUGUCUUCUGUUUCUCCUAAUCUGCAGCAAUGUGCUGUAAGUUGUGGGAAUUUUGAAGUGCUACUUUUUAAUUACCCAAGAUUGGCCCUGGGGCUGGUUCUUAACUUGUCAUAUAAAACUCAGAUUUUAUAGAAAGCUUAAAAUAAUUUAAAGUGUAUAAAUUGUGUAUUUAUCCUCCGAAAGAUUACGCAAGGGAAUUAUUGGCUGGUAAAGUGUAAAGUAAUAAAUCAAAAUAAUAAAUCGGAAAAGAGACAAACUGGUGAUGGGAACCUGCAUAGUGUUGGUUAGGACAAGAAGUAGUUUCCUCCAAAUCCUUUUUCAAGUAAUCAUAUUCUUAAUGAAGGAUGCUAGUGUAUGCAUUUGUUGUUGGAGAUCUCAGUAAUUUGAUAUUUGAAUCAUUGAUUCAAUCCAGGAAUUUAAAGUCCAUCGGGCAGCUAUGUAAAAAAUAUUUGUUAGAAAAAAGGAAUUGGGCAUGUUUUAAUUUUUUUUUUCAUAAUAGAUUCAAUCUUGAAGAUAUAUUCUCUUAUGGGAAGUUGUAUACAUUUUAAGAUGGAUACUAGCAUGUAUGUCAAUCAUACCUCUCAACUUUUUGGGAAAAAUUAAAUUACAGCUGCAGUAAAGUCAGUAAAAUCUGCUGAUACUUAGGUUGUUCUUUCUCUAUCCUCAUAGGUAACGUUGUAUUUCUAUAUUUUAACAUUCUAUUUCUGUAAUAGAUUUGAGGGUUUGAGUUCCUCAUGUUGGUAAAUAAAAAAUUUAGAAUAUUUUAAUAAACUGCUACAAAGACACUGAGUAGCAGUUCAUACGGUAUCAUAUAAUGUAGAAUAUUUGUUACUGGCUAACAUGCAUGUACCUAAUGUAUGUAGUAGAGAGGAAAAAAAGUUACUGUAUAAGGUUAUGACCUGGGCAAAAGUUUUAAUGGAUAAUGACAUAUUGUCUCUGUGCCACUUAUCUAGGCAGUGCAGGGAGGAAAGCUGUGAAGUGUUAUUAAUACAUUGUUUGAACAUUUAGAAACAGGUUUUAUAGUAACCGUAUCUCUCCAGAAAGUAUAAGGUCUCCCAGUCUGUAUUGUAGGAACAAUACUUCCAUGUAUUUGAAAUACAUUCAAAGAAAAGUGAAUCUAGAUACCUGUUGUGUGUUUUUCUUUGUUUUUGUUUUUUUGGUUUUGUUUUGUUUUUUUUUUCCUGCUUUAUGACAUUGCUUUUGUCAGUCUUGCUGGAGGACAAAAAGAAAGAAUGAGGUUAUGAGAAAAGCUAUUAUUUAUUAAGUAGAGGAAAAAACAUUGCUUUCUCAAAUCUAACAUUUUUUUUCUAGCAGCAACUUAAUAGAAUAAUGAUUUCUGAAGCAUUAAUUAAAUUCCAACUUAUUGCCGUGCAAAUUCUGGUACAAUUUUAGUGGUACAACAAAGUAACUCAUCAUUAUAGUUCACUAAGUAACUUCCAAACUGAAAUGACUUAUUUUAGAAGAUGUGAUAAAUAGUCUUCAAAUUUUUCUGAAGGAUGUUAACAAAAAUGCAGCAUCUGGUAAGUUAGCUUUUGAAGAAAAAUACGGGUUUGGGCACAAACUGUCACAAAAUAGCCAAACUCCAUGCUGACCUGUAUCUUCUAGGGUUUCCUUACCUUUGGAUAUCUGACUUAAAUGACAUGUCUCAUUGUUAGAAAGGGAUCACUCCUUACUAAUUUGUUUGCAAAAGCCUUGGACUUCAGCAUACAGAGAAGGAAAAAUCUGUCAGAAUGAAGAUAUCCAACACGUGAAGUGAAUCAAGAAAUGUAGAGAGACCUGGAAAAAAGAAAAAGCUUUCUGAGGGGGGGGAAAAAGAACAAAACCAAUAACAGAGAUCAGGGAAUCAUAGAGAGAAAGAUCUGGUCUAACAAUGACUGUCUCCACAGAUAUCUGUUUUUCUAAGAUACCAGGCCUUAAUCAACUAUAAAUAAGUCAUUUCCAAAAUUACCACUAACUUGGGAAGAAUUUGUAUGCCUCUAUUCAGUCUCAGCAUUUUGAGAGUCACAGUAUCUAAAAAUGUUGUUUGUGUGAGGUGCUGGCUGUCGUUUCCCAGUCCUUACUUAGUGUGAAGGGCCAGUGCCUAUUGGGAUUCCAGGUGUACUCUGUUUUGAUUUCUUGAGUGGAACGCAUAUGAGGCCCAAGAAACUUCAAAUCUCUUAAGAUGGUUUUUGUUUCAAAUAUUCAGAGUGGAAUUCUAGAUUAAAUGCUGUUGUCUUUAAGUGCGUUGUCCUUAGAUCUUCUCUUCACUAAUGCACCUGUAGGCCACAUCUAAACUAACUGCACCUGACUUGAGCCAGAUGGAUAACAUCUUCUGUGACUUCACUAUUGAUAUCACAAAUCAGUUAGGCUUUCUCUCAGUUGUAGUAAUAAUCUUCACCUGCGUUAUGGAAAUAUUGACUACUGACUAAGAUUGAUUAAUACCUAUAAAUUGACCCAAAUAUGCUGGUGGUUGAAGUGCAAGAACAUUUAAAUUCCUUCUACAGAUAAUUUCAAACAGUAUAAUAGUUAAAAAGUGAUUUACAGUGUGAUUUACAGUGUCUGUGUGAUUCCAGCACUAUCUUAUUGGGAAAAGUGUUGGGAUAGACAUUUUUAAAACUGGCUUUUCUUUUGUAAUGAUCAGAAUGUGAUGACUGCACAGAAGUAGCAAUCUUUUGUGACUAACCUUUAUGCAGCUGGAAAUUCUGGCCUGACACUUAUGAUUUUUGCAGCACUAAUGGGAAUUUUUCCUUAAAUAGCAUUUUCAGGUUCUUAGCACAGAAGCAAUGUCUUGUAAAGCUGUAAGAAAAUGAAGAUAAAAGUUGAAACUGUUUCAGAAGAGUUUCAAAGCUAUAAGGCUGAAAUGGAUGCCAACACAGAUGUAAAAGCCAUUGGCAGGCAGGAUGGAAAGAGCACGUAGGCUUAGAGAGAGAGAGAAAAAAAAAAAAAAGGCUCAUUCUGAUGUUGAUACUGAUUGACACUCUAUCUUCCAGCUUGCAAAGAUGGAAGAAAACCAAGAGCACCUGACAAGACAACAAAGAUAGUAAAACGGAGAAGAUCCUGCCUACAUGCAAAUCAUCCAUCUAGCUUUUUUUUCUGCACCUAAGGCCUACAGAAGAGUUUUGGAUAGCAAUAUGGAAGCACUUCUGCACUGCUAAAAGCAUCUAAGCUGCCAGUCACUUACAAAGACAACUUUCAAAAGGGGAAAAGAGUUAACAGAAAAAGGGAGAAUGGAAACUUCAAAGUGUGUAUUAAAAUGUUUAAUUAUAAGCAAAGAGAGAAAAGGGAAGAAGAAUUGAGAAAGAAAAAUGGGAACAGGAAGAAUGUUAGUCACCUGUUUCAGAAUAUGGAUUAAGGAGCACAAGGAAUAAACAUUAAAAAACUGAUCAAUUCCUACUGGAGAAAAAGAUGUUGUAUGCGGAUAUGAAAACUCUGUUACUGAAGACCAAAGUCAGUACCAAGGAGAACAAGAUUGAGGUGUAUAUGUUACUGUGAUUUUGCUGUUGACUAUUACCUAAAAUUAAGGAAAAUUAGAGAUGCAGGAGUUGUUCAGGUUUUAAUUAUGCGCUCCAGUAAGGUUGUACUUACAAUAUUAUACUUGUAUUUCAUUUACAGAAUCUUAAUCCAAUGGAUAAGAUAGUUUUACCCGAAGGAAUCAGCAAAGAAAACCAUCAACUCCAAGGGAAAAAAAACCAAAUCAAUAGAUUUAUAUGGUCAUAACUUUAUGACACCUUCGGAUGCUAUUUUAGAUUUUUUUUUUGUGAGAUAGAAUGUUGCAGCAAGAGCACUAGAAGGACCGUUCCCAAGAGUAAAAAAUGAAUGUCUCUUCUCCAAUUACGAUCUUUCAAAAAAGGAUUUUAAAAUAACUUCAAACAUUGCAAAGAAUUUUUUCUGUACUUAACCUACAAUCUGUGGGCAUUUCAGGAUGAAAAGAUUUCUUUUCCACAAAGCGAAACAGGUUAAAGUCACGCCUGUCAUCUCAUUCUAGUACUGCUCUUUUUUCAGCUCAGCUUCUGCCAGUUUAUUUUAUCAAAAUAUUCCCAGGCUUACUUUGAAGAUAUUUUUUUUUUUUCCUGAGAGUGUUACCCUUAGAACUGUAUUGUGACUUCCCAUUCCAGUAUUCCUAUUUAUACUCUUUGAAACAUUGUUUCCAGUUGAGUAUGUAAGAGGCUUCUUCUGGUGUGACUGACUAGUCUUUCAUAAGAGAUUAUGGAUUCGUGCAUGGAACAUUGUAAUGCAACCUCUCAGAGAUGUCAUGUAUUCAGCCUGCAUGUCUUCACUUGCUGUAGUCUAAGAUACUUAAAUAUAUGUUGGACAUUGGAUUAUAGCUCUGUUGUGCUUUUUUUGUUCCAUUUUCUGUUGUGUUAUGGCAUGAGUAUGCAGAAGAAAUACUGAGAAUGUAAAACAUGGAAUGAUAUCCUAUUCUCACUGAAGUUGGAAGUGUAACUGUGAAUGUCACAGGAGUGGAACAACACGUCAUCAAGAGCAAGAUUGUUUAUUUGCAAUUCUGUACUUAGAGCUCUUACUUUUAAUAGUAACGUGCUACUUCUCUGCUUUGCCUGGUGAGCUCCCUGAAAUCAGGACAUUGCAGACAAAUCCUCAUUGAGUGGGAGAAAUAGACUUGAAAUGUCUACUACUUACAAGAUACACUGAUUUUUCACCACUAGGACCUACUAAUGUUGUCAGCUCAGUGAAUAUAUCAUGCAUUUGGUGAUUGAUGUUUCUCUGUCCAGUUCAACUCAGUAGAAAGUUCAACGUGUUUUCUUCAGUUCACUGAGUUACUCAUCAUAUGUACAGAGGAGUUUCUACCAUGGCCUUUAAUGGAAAAGCACUGGAAUUUCUACAGGGCAUGUGAAGAUUUUGGAUUCUGAAGUCUUCUAAAGUGCUAACACUUUUUUUUUCCAUCAUCAUUUAGUUCUAAAUGUACAAAUGUUUGCUUCUAAGUGCUUUGUUACUAUUGUUUUGAUAAAUCAUUUGCCCUGUACUUGUAAUGGGCUGAAAGAUUGUCUGGUUUAACUGCAGAGUACUUUGUAGCGGGUGAGGGUAACUGUCACGAUUGAAUUUUGUGCUUUAAUGUUCUGAAAUGGACAGGAGUUAUUAUACACUGGUCCACAAAUUGUAUUCUAUGUUACCAGCUUUGUAUGAAACUCCACUGAUUUCUGUGGCUUUUUAUCCAGAUAGAUAUCAAUAUUGAUGGCCACUUGUCACAUCUCAGUGUUGAACCAGUCUGCCCAAGCAUGUGCUGUCAGAAGUGGCUGCAAGAGUUUGUAUAAUAACAUAAGCUAUUAAGCAAAAUCCAAGAUGGGCAGCUUUGAAUGAUCACCAGCAACUUUGCUUUGUGAGGCUUGGUUAUAUACAAACAACUGAGAAUGGGAUCUAUGCUGGGAGAAGCUAUAAGAGAGCUCUUAGCCUUUGAAAAUGCUCAUAGAAAUUCAGUUGUUGAUUCAACCAAAUCCAUUUGACAGUCAAAAAAUGUGCCAGCACAAGACAGGAAGUACAGUGAUUCUGGUAAACAAGUUUUUCAGUCUAGUAACAUCCAGGAUUUUCAGCCUGAUUACUGGAGGAUUUCUGUUUGUUUUGAUUUCGCACAGUGUGAAUCUGCCUCAGUAGCAUGUCUAUAAUAUAUUUGACUGUUAGGAGAAUUAUCCACAUGCAAGUGGUGUUCUAGCUCUUUCAUUCCCUGAGUUGUAAGAAGACUUGAGAUAAUAAUACCUACUAUUCCUAACUCGAGUGAAUGGGGUGAGAAAUAUCUCCUGUCAAUACAUAACAUACUCAGCUUGCUAUUUGGAGUGUGAAGAGCUGUUCUGCAGGGAUUUGAUUAGUGUCUUAAACAGGAAGAGGUUUAGGGGGGAGAGAGGCUUCUGAUGGUCAGAGAGUUAAUGUGCCUGCGCAUGCAUGAGCAAUCAUUGCCUGUUAGGCUGUAAGGAUUAAAAGGAAAAGAAAAAAAAAAGAAAAAACAACAAAACAAAAAACAACCAAGUGCCUUGAAGCCAGAGAAAGUUAAAGGCUACUGAGUGAUGGGUAUUUAGUAAAGGUCAGUUUGCAAGCAGGAAGUAAACAGAACAUUCCCACAGCUGCUGCAGGAAAACAGACCUGAAGAAAUAUUGGUCUAAGGGAGCUGUUCAUUCAGAUACUGUUGCUUGGAGCACCCUUGGAGAAGAAAAGUAGUUUUUCAUCAAAAGUGAAAGAUUUUUGACUGUAAAAGUUACUGUUAAAGCCACUUAUGUGUGAUGUCUUUUUUGUGUUACAAAUUGUUUAAUAAAAUUAUAAUGAAAAACUGG